AUACGGAGGAUCCGAGCGUUAUCCGGAUUUAUUGGGUUUAAAGGGUGCGCAGGCGGCCAUUUAAGUCAGCGGUUAAAUCGUGGGGCUCAACCCCAUUCUGCCGUUGAUACUGGGUGGCUUGAUUGCGGUCGAGGUUGGCGGAAUUCGUUGUGUAGCGGUGAAAUGCAUAGAUAUGACGAAGAACACCGAUUGCGUAGGCAGCUGACCAGACCGCAAAUGACGCUCAUGCACGAAAGUGCGGGGAUCAAACAGGAUUAGAUACCCUGGUAGUGCUCACAGUAAGCGAUGAAUACUUGUUUUCGGCGAUAUAAUGUCGGAGGCAAAGCGAAAGCGAUAAGUAUUCCACCUGGGGAGUACGCCGGCAACGUUGAAGCUCAAAUGAAUUGACGGGG
rnacentral:rRNA from 1 species